CCUACGGGAGGCAGCAGUGAGGAAUAUUGGUCAAUGGGCUUACGCCUGAACCAGCGAAGUCGCGUGAGGGAAGACUGCCCUAUGGGUUGUAAACCUCUUUUGUCAGGGAGCAACGCCGCCUACGUUUAGCCGGACUGAGAGUACCUGAAGAAACAGCAUCGGCUAACUCCGUGCCAGCAGCCGCGGUAAUACGGAGGAUGCGAGCGUUAUCCGGAUGUAGUGGGUGUAAAGGGUGCGUAGGCGGAAUGCCAAGUCAGCGGUAAAAUCGCGGGGCUCAACCUCGCUCCGCCGUUGAUACUGGCGUUCUUGAGUGGGCGAGAAGUAUGCGGAAUGCGUGGUGUAGCGGUGAAAUGCAUAGAUAUCACGAAGAACUCCGAUUGCGAAGGCAGCAUACCGGCGCCCAACUGACGCUGAAGCACGAAAGCGUGGGUAGCGAACAGGAUUAGAUACCCCAGUAGUC
rnacentral:rRNA from 1 species